GUAAAUUACACCAACAGUCACUCAACUUUGGGGUAGCUGACAAAAUAGUCACAUGGGUUUCAUUUCAAUCACUCAACUUUAGAAAAAUAACAAAAAUAGUGGCAUGGCAUUUAAUGGAGGGUUAGCUAUCAUUUAAACAGCCCCUUAGCCCUAGUUGGGCAGCAGAAAAUAAGAAAAUAAAAAAAAAAGAGAAGAAGAAGAAAUGGAC
rnacentral:lncRNA from 1 species